rnacentral:rRNA from 1 species
GACGAACGCUGGCGGCGUGCCUAAUACAUGCAAGUAGAACGCUGAAGAGAGGAGCUUGCUCUUCUUGGAUGAGUUGCGAACGGGUGAGUAACGCGUAGGUAACCUGCCUUGUAGCGGGGGAUAACUAUUGGAAACGAUAGCUAAUACCGCAUAACAAUGGAUGACACAUGUCAUUUAUUUGAAAGGGGCAAUUGCUCCACUACAAGAUGGACCUGCGUUGUAUUAGCUAGUAGGUGAGGUAACGGCUCACCUAGGCGACGAUACAUAGCCGACCUGAGAGGGUGAUCGGCCACACUGGGACUGAGACACGGCCCAGACUCCUACGGGAGGCAGCAGUAGGGAAUCUUCGGCAAUGGGGGCAACCCUGACCGAGCAACGCCGCGUGAGUGAAGAAGGUUUUCGGAUCGUAAAGCUCUGUUGUAAGUCAAGAACGAGUGUGAGAGUGGAAAGUUCACACUGUGACGGUAGCUUACCAGAAAGGGACGGCUAACUACGUGCCAGCAGCCGCGGUAAUACGUAGGUCCCGAGCGUUGUCCGGAUUUAUUGGGCGUAAAGCGAGCGCAGGCGGUUUGAUAAGUCUGAAGUUAAAGGCUGUGGCUCAACCAUAGUUCGCUUUGGAAACUGUCAAACUUGAGUGCAGAAGGGGAGAGUGGAAUUCCAUGUGUAGCGGUGAGAUGCGUAGAUAUAUGGAGGAACACCGGUGGCGAAAGCGGCUCUCUGGUCUGUAACUGACGCUGAGGCUCGAAAGCGUGGGGAGCGAACAGGAUUAGAUACCCUGGUAGUCCACGCCGUAAACGAUGAGUGCUAGGUGUUGGAUCCUUUCCGGGAUUCAGUGCCGCAGCUAACGCAUUAAGCACUCCGCCUGGGGAGUACGACCGCAAGGUUGAAACUCAAAGGAAUUGACGGGGGCCCGCACAAGCGGUGGAGCAUGUGGUUUAAUUCGAAGCAACGCGAAGAACCUUACCAGGUCUUGACAUCCCGAUGCUAUUUCUAGAGAUAGAAAGUUACUUCGGUACAUCGGUGACAGGUGGUGCAUGGUUGUCGUCAGCUCGUGUCGUGAGAUGUUGGGUUAAGUCCCGCAACGAGCGCAACCCCUAUUGUUAGUUGCCAUCAUUCAGUUGGGCACUCUAGCGAGACUGCCGGUAAUAAACCGGAGGAAGGUGGGGAUGACGUCAAAUCAUCAUGCCCCUUAUGACCUGGGCUACACACGUGCUACAAUGGUUGGUACAACGAGUUGCGAGUCGGUGACGGCAAGCUAAUCUCUUAAAGCCAAUCUCAGUUCGGAUUGUAGGCUGCAACUCGCCUACAUGAAGUCGGAAUCGCUAGUAAUCGCGGAUCAGCACGCUGCGGUGAAUACGUUCCCGGGCCU